CUACCGGUGCAGCGAUGCAUCGGGAUGAUUCUGGAGAAGUCAGCAGAGGUCGUAUUAGGC
rfam:Desulfococcus multivorans DSM 2059 ctg28, whole genome shotgun sequence.